AGCAGCAGGAGAGAGGAAGAGCAGGAAACAGACAGCUGCACAAUCAGUAAGCAGAGGCAGGGUCCAUCACAGGGGAAGCUGAGCCAGGGAGCCAAGCUGAAAAAGCUGCCUGGAGGGGCUGUAUUGAUAAUAUCCCAGCCUGCAAGGCUCAAUCCAUCCCCUGGGGCGCUCAGCAGCAAGUGGAUGAAGAGUCCCCGGACGGUCUUUUGGCUCCACAGCCAGACACUGCAGCUAGAGGAAGAGAUCUGAACAUGAUAGAAGGCAGGUACACACACACACAAACAGGCACACUGCCCGAACAGCUUCCCCACACCUCAUUUAUUCUCAUUUUGAGUCUCCCCUCUCAGGCUCGCUGCAGAGUGAGGGGCAGAGAGCACAGAGGAGGCGAGGAGAUGUACGAGGGAGGGGAUGGAGAGAGAAUGACAGCCUUACGCAGACGAUCGUCCUCCUCUCUUCUCUCCCAUCAGAAGUGCUAAUCCAGCCAGCGGAGGUGCAGACCACCGCUCACACCUGCCUGCUCCUCUCCAUCUUGUUAGGGCCCAGAUGGGAGAGAAAGUGACUUCCUGCUGUACUUCCACCACAGGGCUCGUUCCUUCACAUUAAUACCUUUACCGCUCGGCUCCAUUUGUUACACACACUCAAGACACACACUCAGGGGGAGCCCGGGGCUGUGAAUGAUGGCCAUAUGCAGAACUGUGCUCAUCUAUAACCCCCUGUGGCUGGAACAAAGUAC